CAGACGGGCUGGGCGCGCGUAACAAAGGCUGGGGAAGAAGAGCUGCUGCUUCCUAGGUUCUGUCAACUCCCGGCAGCGCCAGGCCCUUCCAGCUUCCACACGUAGGGACUCGACAAAACUACCACUGAGCGGUUGCUGUAAGCGGGGCCGCCAUGCAAUUUCACUCGGAACGUUACCACCGCCUCUGCGCUGCGGAGGGUCUGGCAACUUCUCUGAGAGCACAGGAGUUUCAACAGAGAUGAAGCUGACUGGCGGAGCACAGCCUUCAGCAGACGUCCCCCUCGUCCUCGGGCAGUAGCAGUGCAGACCCCUGACAGCAUACACAAUGGCCUGUCCCUAUGCAGUUGGCUCUCAGGCACCACACGAUGGCUAAUGAGCUGAGCACUAUGCACAUUUGGGCUUUAAUUGCUUGCUGAUAAGGUCCACCAUGUGACAUCUAAGCCUGACCCGCUCCCUCUACCCCACCUCCGAGUUCACUUUUGGGAUCCGUGCCUCAUACCUGCGAUGA